rnacentral:lncRNA from 1 species
UAGCAACAACUUGAGGUACGUAGAAUGAUUAGAAAGAGAGUGAAGGACAAGUAAACAAAUUUGUAUCACCAGAUAAGCUUAUCUUCGAUCAUGAAUGAUCUCUCUUGUUAUAGCUUUUGCGGAGUGCAAUUAACAUAUUUCCGAUGCCUACCAUCUCAUGUUUGAAUCAAGUCAUGCGAUCACAUAUAUACUCCAAAAGAUAGAUAAUAUUAUAUUUCCUCGUUGUUAUAACGAUGUUACGA